UGGGGAAUUUUGCACAAUGGAGGAAACUCUGAUGCAGCGACGCCGCGUGAGUGAUGAAGAUCUUCGGAUUGUAAAACUCUGUCCUUAGUGAAGAUAAUGACAGUAACUAAGAAGCAAGCCCUGGCCAAAUACGUGCCAGCAGCCGCGGUAAUACGUAUGGGGCAAGCGUUGUCCGGAAUUAUUGGGCGUAAAGGGUACGUAGGCGGUUUAAUAAGUCCUAAUUAAAAGGCUAUGGCUCAACCAUAGUAUGGUUAGGAAACUGUUGAACUUGAGGAGAUGAGGGGAAAGUGGAAUUCCAUGUGUAGCGGUGAAAUGCGUAGAUAUAUGGAGGAACACCAAUGGCGAAGGCAACUUUCUGGAAUCAAACUGACGCUGAGGUACGAAGGCGUGGGGAGCAAACAGG
rnacentral:rRNA from 1 species